CCUACGGGUGGCAGCAGUGAGGAAUAUUGGUCAAUGGCCGUAAGGCUGAACCAGCCAAGUAGCGUGAGGGAAGACUGUCCUAUGGGUUGUAAACUUCUUUUAUGCGGGGAUAAAGUUGUCCACGUGUGGAUGUUUGCAGGUACCGCAUGAAUAAGGACCGGCUAAUUCCGUGCCAGCAGCCGCGGUAAUACGGAAGGUCCGGGCGUUAUCCGGAUUUAUUGGGUUUAAAGGGUGCGUAGGCCGGGCUUUAAGCGUGCCGUGAAAAUUUGUGGCUCAACCAUGGGAGUGCGGUGCGAACUGGAGGCCUUGAGUGCGCGGAAGGCAGGCGGAAGUCGUGGUGUAGCGGUGAAAUGCUUAGAUAUAUGGAAGAACACCAGUGGCGAAGGCGGCUCUCUGGUCUGUAACUGACGCUGAGGUUCGAAAGCGUGGGUAGCAAACAGGAUUAGAUACCCCAGUAGUC
rnacentral:rRNA from 1 species